GAAUGACAGGAAGAUUCGGAGGCCAGUAAGAUAAAAAAAAAAAAAAUUAGAGGAAGCACCAAGCUCCGUGGCUCAUUACAAUCGGGACUCAAAAGAAUUAUGCUAUAAGGGACGCAUUGUGCUUGUGACAAAUUCUACUUGCAUCUUCAAGAGCAGAUUUUGGACAAAGUUAUUCCAUAUGCAGGGUACUAAAUUGAAAAGGAGUACGACAUAUCACCCAC
rnacentral:lncRNA from 1 species